rnacentral:rRNA from 1 species
AUGUCGUCGUCGUGGAACUCGGUGGGGCUGGAGGUGCUCUACCAGGUCAUCGGGUGGAUCGCCUUCGUCGCCUGGUCCUUCAGCUUCUACCCGCAGGUCGUCCUCAACUACAGGCGCAAGAGUGUCGUCGGUCUGAACUUCGAUUUUCUGGUGCUGAAUUUCACAAAGCACUCUUCCUACCUCAUAUACAAUGCUGCUCUAUUCUUCAGCCCCUUCAUCCAGCAACAGUAUCAUGACAAGUUUGGUGAUAAAGAGAUGAUUCCUGUUGCUGCAAAUGAUGUUGCUUUCUCUCUACAUGCAGUGGCCUUGACAUCUUUUACCCUUUACCAAGUUUUUAUUUAUGAGCGUGGAAACCAGAAAGUCUCCAAAGUGUGCAUAUCAAUCUCUGCUGUUGUCUGGUCAGCUGCUAUUGUUUGCCUCAUUGUAGCUUGGCCAAAAAGUAACUGGCUAUGGCUUAUUGAUGUAUUCAAUUCAAUACAGGUUGCGAUGACAACAGUCAAGUACAUCCCUCAGGCUGUGAUGAACUUCAGGCGGAAGAGUACAGUUGGUUGGAGUAUUGGCAAUAUUUUACUUGAUCUUACAGGGGGGGUGCUGAACUUUGGUCAGAUGGGUGUGCAAUCUAUUGAUCAGCACACUUUAGUGAAUUUCUAUGGAAAUAUCGGCAAGACCCUUCUUUCGUUGGAAACUGUUUUCUUCGAUGUUCUCUUCAUAAUUCAACACUAUGUGUUGUACCCUGUCAAACGGGAUGAGAAUGGUAAGGCCAUCAUUUCUGAGAGGGUAGCUCCUCUGAUCAGGCCCUCAGAUAAGCCUGAAGAAGAUAGUGUAUGA